UUCAGCUGAGUCACGUACAGGGCCUCUAAGUGACGAGACGUUUCCGAUUUUAUGGUGACGUCUGGAGUCACCAUAAAAAUCUUUCCAGCCAGAUUGGUUGAGCAAGUCCAAGUGUACACACGAAGCCGCCUUCUCCCRUCUUGAGCACAUGUGCGUAGGAAUAAGGUAAAUCCCUGCAGGCCAGCAGGUUGGGUCCUCAUCACACCUUAAGCCCAUAAGUACAAAAAAGAAGAAGGGAAAACGGAGAAUGGAGUGGUUUAUUCCUGUCUAACAACCGUAUUAUAAAAGGCUUCAAAAUCAAUUCUUGGGCCUUUUUUCUUUUUUUCAGAAAAGAAAAGCGUCGUUCAAAUUCAGGUUUAUGAUGAAACCAGCCUCAGUGAUCCACUGAUCUGUGGAACUCAGUGUGACCAGAGCGCUCUCCCAGUGCCCCGUGGGAGCAAGAGGAGGGUCCUGUUUCCCACCACCCUGGUGUUCAGAAGCUUUGCUGUUGGAGUCACAGGAUGGCAGCCACUGUUCUGCCCCCCACUUGUGGUGAGUCAGGGGGUCUUGGCAGCCCAUUUCAGGCUUGAGGAUCCAUAGCCCCCAG
rnacentral:lncRNA from 1 species